rnacentral:rRNA from 1 species
UGGGGAAUAUUGGGCAAUGGGGGCAACCCUGACCCAGCGACGCCGCGUGGGGGAAGACGGCCUUCGGGUUGUAAACCUCUUUUUUAGGGGAGGAAGGAAGUGACGGUACUUUACAAAUAAUUCCCGCCUAACUACGUCCCGGCACCCGCGGUAUUACGUAGGGGCCGGCCUUUGUCCGGAUUUACUGGGGGUAAAGGGCGCCCAGGCUGUGCUGCAAGUCAGCUGUUAAAUGUCUGGGCUUAACCCGGGCAUGCGGUUGAGACUGCAGUGCUGGAGUGCUGUAGAGGCAAGCGGAAUUCCCAGUGUAGCGGUGAAAUGCGUAGAUAUUGGGAAGAACACCGGUGGCGAGGGCGACUUGCUGGGCAGCAACUGACGCUGAGGCGCGAAAGCCAGGGGAGCAAACGG